AACGAACGCUGGCGGCAGGCCUAACACAUGCAAGUCGAGCGCCCUUUCGGGGGAGCGGCGGACGGGUGAGUAACGCGUGGGAAUAUGCCCUUCUCUACGGAAUAGCCUCGGGAAACUGAGAGUAAUACCGUAUACGCCCUGUGGGGGAAAGAUUUAUCGGGGAAGGAUUAGCCCGCGUUGGAUUAGGUAGUUGGUGGGGUAAUGGCCUACCAAGGCGACGAUCCAUAGCUGGUUUGAGAGGAUGAUCAGCCACACUGGGACUGAGACACAGCCCAGACUCCUACGGGAGGCAGCAGUGGGGAAUCUUAGACAAUGGGGGCAACCCUGAUCUAGCCAUGCCGCGUGAGUGAUGAAGGCCUUAGGGUUGUAAAGCUCUUUCAGCUGGGAAGAUAAUGACGGUACCAGCAGAAGAAGCCCCGGCUAACUCCGUG
rnacentral:rRNA from 1 species